rnacentral:rRNA from 1 species
ACAGGGAUUGCCCUAGUAACGGCGAGUGAAGCGGCAACAGCUCAAAUUUGAAAUCUGGCGUCUUUGGCGUCCGAGUUGUAAUUUGCAGAGGGCGCUUUGGCAUUGGCAGCGGUCCAAGUUCCUUGGAACAGGACGUCACAGAGGGUGAGAAUCCCGUACGUGGUCGCUAGCCUUUACCGUGUAAAGCCCCUUCGACGAGUCGAGUUGUUUGGGAAUGCAGCUCUAAAUGGGAGGUAAAUUUCUUCUAAAGCUAAAUACUGGCCAGAGACCGAUAGCGCACAAGUAGAGUGAUCGAAAGAUGAAAAGCACUUUGGAAAGAGAGUUAAAAAGCACGUGAAAUUGUUGAAAGGGAAGCGCUUGCAGCCAGACUUGCCUGUAGUUGCUCAUCCGGGUUUUUACCCGGUGCACUCUUCUAUAGGCAGGCCAGCAUCAGUUUGGGCGGUUGGAUAAAGGUCUCUGUCAUGUACCUCCUCUCGGGGAGAACUUAUAGGGGAGACGACAUGCAACCAGCCUGGACUGAGGUCCGCGCAUCUGCUAGGAUGCUGGCGUAAUGGCUGUAAGCGGCCCGUCUUGAAACACGGACCAAGGAGUCUAACAUCUAUGCGAGUGUUUGGGUGUCAAGCCCGAACGCGUAAUGAAAGUGAACGGAGGUGGGAACCUUUCGGGGUGCACCAUCGACCGAUCCUGAUGUCUUCGGAUGGAUUUGAGUAAGAGCAUAGCUGUUGGGACCCGAAAGAUGGUGAACUAUGCUUGAAUAGGGUGAAGCCAGAGGAAACUCUGGUGGAGGCUCGCAGCGGUUCUGACGUGCAAAUCGAUCGUCAAAUUUGGGCAUAGGGGCGAAAGACUAAUCGAACUAUCUAGUAGCUGGUUCCUGCCGAAGUUUCCCUCAGGAUAGCAGUAACGUUUUCAGUUUUAUGAGGUAAAGCGAAUGAUUAGAGGCCUGGGGGUUGAAACAACCUUCACCUAUUCUCAAACUUUAAAUAUGUAAGAAGUCCUUGUUACUUAAUUGAACGUGGACAGUUGAAUGUAUCGUUACUAGUGGGCCAUUUUUGGUAAGCAGAACUGGCGAUGCGGGAUGAACCGAACGCGGGGUUAAGGUGCCAGAAUAUACGCUCAUCAGACACCACAAAAGGUGUUAGUUCAUCUAGACAGCAGGACGGUGGCCAUGGAAGUCGGAAUCCGCUAAGGAGUGUGUAACAACUCACCUGCCGAAUGAACUAGCCCUGAAAAUGGAUGGCGCUCAAGCGUAUUACCCAUACCCCGCCGCUGGGGCAAGAUUUAAGCCCCAGCGAGUAGGCAGGCGUGGAGGUCCGUGACGAAGCCUUGG